rnacentral:rRNA from 1 species
CGGUAAUUCCAGCUCCAAUAGCGUAUAUUAAAGUUGUUGCAGUUAAAAAGCUCGUAGUUGGACUUCAGAGUGAGCUCAGACGGUCGGCCUAAGGGUCAGAACUGGUUGACUCUCUCUUGUUUGUGGAAGCCGCCCGGAGUUAACUCUUCGGAUGUGCUCUCCACAUCGUUUACCUUGAAAAAAUUAGAGUGUUCAAAGCAGGCGUUUGCUUGAAUAUAUUAGCAUGGAAUAAUGGAAUAGGACCCUGGUUCUAUUUUGUUGGUUUUGAGGACCAGAGUAAUGAUUAAUAGGGAUAGUUGGGGGCAUUCAUAUUUCAUUGUCAGAGGUGAAAUUCUUGGAUUUAUGAAAGAUGAACUUCUGCGAAAGCAUUUGCCAAGGAUGUUUUCAUUAAUCAAGAACGAAAGUUAGGGGAUCGAAGACGAUCAGAUACCGUCGUAGUCUUAACCAUAAACUAUGCCGACUAGGGAUUGGGCGUGGUUUGUUCAUUGACCCGCUCAGCACCUUACGAGAAAUCAAAGUCUUUGGGUUCCGGGGGGAGUAUGGUCGCAAGGCUGAAACUUAAAGGAAUUGACGGAGGGGCACCACCAGGAGUGGAGCCUGCGGCUUAAUUUGACUCAACACGGGAAAACUUACCAGGUCCAGACAUAGUAAGGAUUGACAGAUUGAGAGCUCUUUCUUGAUUCUAUGGGUGGUGGUGCAUGGCCGUUCUUAGUUGGUGGAGUGGUUUGUCUGGUUAAUUCCGUUAACGAACGAGACCUUAACCUACUAAAUAGUUACGCUGAUGCUUUUGCAUCGGCGGACAACUUCUUAGAGGGACUAUCGGUGUUCAACCGGUGGAAGUUUGAGGCAAUAACAGGUCUGUGAUGCCCUUAGAUGUUCUGGGCCGCGCGCGCUACACUGACGAGUUCAACAAGUUGUCCACCUUGACUGAAGAGUCCGGGUAAUCUUUUCAACGCUCGUCGUGAUGGGGAUAGAUUAUUGCAAUUAUUAAUCUUCAACGAGGAAUUCCUAGUAAGGGUUGUUCAUCAGACAGCCCUGAUUACGUCCCUGCCCCUUGUACACACCGCCCGUCGCUACUACCGAUUGGAUGGUUUAAUGAGACAUUCUGAUUGGCGCUGCCGAAGCUGGUAACGGCUUUGGCGGAUUGCCGAAAAGUUUUUCAAAUUUGAUCAUUUAGAGGAAGUAAAAGUCGUAACAAGGUAGCCG